CUGCUGCUGCUGCUGCUGCCGUCCCAUUCUCACAUCCUGCAGGAGGGAGGGGGCCCCCACACUUCACCCCCUCCUGAAGGAGAUGACCUUCCUGCUGUUAAUACUGCUGCUGCUGAAAUUACUUACAGACCAUUGCCAACCACACAGCUGAACUGAGCACGGAAGUGGAGGUGGAAGUAGGGGCGGCCGUGGAGGUGAUGUGUCAGCGGUUCACGAAGGUAGUGCGGUCCUCCACCACCGUCCACCUGCUCCUCGACACUACCAUGCCUCAGCAGGAGCAGAAGCAGCAGCUCCAUACACCACUACAACAGGGGCAGCAGCAGGUCCAAACACACCACAAGGAUCAAGAACUAUCGUGAAAACUUGCUAGUUGACAUCUGAAGCAGAAUUGCAGGAUGUGAAAGCUGAAAGGAAGUUUAAAAUGUAGUUUAACAGACUUAUAGAAUGUCCCUUUAAGAGGAAUUUGAGUUGUAAAUCAAAUUUUAUGGAAGUUGUCAGACUUCAGUACUAAACCAUCUUCAAAUACAUAAAUCACUCAUAUUGAA